GGCAGCCAGCUCCCCGCAGGUACCCGGGGAAAGGAGAGUGGAGGGCAAGGCAAGCGUCAGGUAGUUAACACCCCCAACAGGCUUUCCAGGGACAGACAGGCAGUAACACAGUGACAGGGGAGAGGUGUGGAUGCUCCAGUCACUUUCCAUCAGCACAGGAUAUCGCUUUCGAUCUUCCUCAUUCCUGUCGUGAUCCUUGUACCAAAAUGUCUUUUCUGCAACUUCAGAGCGUUGUGUAAUUUCUAAUUCAUAUCAGAGGCUGUCUUGAGGUUGGCCGCCCUGAGUUGCGUUUGUAAAGACUCCUUUCCCAGUGAAAGAAUGUGCGUUUUCCCAGCUUUGUCAACAUGGGAUGGAUACAGGUAUCUGGGUCACUUGCUUGCGCCAGUGGCCUAGGUGGGGAGGACAUUAAUAAACCCUGGCCUCAAAUGCAAAUCUUACCCAAGAAAAAUAAGAAUGGCCAUGAGAAUGAAAAAAGAUAGCCGCCUCCUCUCGCUCAUCUGCCGCUCGGUCUACAUCAGGUUCACGGAUCGUCUCCCCAACAGUGUUUUUGUUCUUUCUUCUCGUCCCCAGGUCGGAAGAUAUAAUUUACAGCCUCCAGAAGUCUCGCCGAGCCUGAUUGGAUGGUGUCCAGCUUUGCCGGAAUCAGGGAGGGAGAAGGGCAGCCCUGCCAAUGAGGGGCGAGACCGAUUAAAAGGGCCUCACCGGUGGAAUAUAAUCCCUCCUCUGUACUCACUGGUGACCAGCCACGGUUGUCUUUCAAAGGACACCACGGGUUAGCCCAAGAUGAAGACAAGACGGAGAGGCGGCUGGGCCCCAGGCGGGUGUGACAGCCCACGGGGGGACAGGAUGCAACCGUGACUGCCUACAUGCAGGACCCAUCAGCCCCGAGAGCCCUGAAACUCCCCAAGGGAGCGGAGUGCCAAAGGCCCCCAAACUGACCAAAGUCACCGGCCCUGGUCCUGCAUCCGGUGGGGACUUCCGGCGUCUUCCUCGCAGCCUCGGACAGCCUGUUGGCUUUGGAUGCACGCCUUGCUUUCCAGUGAGCAUCCCGCCCCUUUGCCGCCCCAACACAGUGUGCAUGAGGCAAGCGUGAGGCUUCUAAGUGAACCUGGGAGUCAGCAACAGGUAGGACCGAAUCGGCCCUUCACUCGGCGUAUGCGUGGCCAUCCAGAGACAACCCCCACCCCAGGACCCCUGCGGGAGGUGCCUGUGGGAGUAGACAGGGUCUGGAGUUGCUCUCAUUUUCCGAAAUGGUUGCUCCAUCCCUGAAGAACGAAAGAAUCCCGGGCAGUGGUCAAAUGGAAACAUAUCUCUUUAGCGAGAUGUCUGAAAGGCAGGAACAAGGAGGGGAGGGAUUUCACUUCUCUGAAGGCCUUCCUUCUUCCCUUCCUCGAAGCGCAGAUAUAGGUGGAUGCAUGCAGACUGACUUUUCUCUGCAAUUAAGCACGGCGGUGGCCAGGAAAACGGGAGCGUGGGGGUGGGGGCGGGGCACACCCAGCCUUCGGUCCUCACUGUUGUCCCUUGUUAAACGUGGGGUCUGCGAGAGCCGACUGCUCAGGUAAGGGCAGUGCAGAGAACAGGAUGCCCCAAGCAACCCAUAAAUAGCAGGGCGAAGACAAAGUGUUUAUUACCUGGCCUCGCGAAGCCCGUAUAAAUGCUCUCCCAGGGUGCGAGAGAGGGGAGCAUGUGUGAGCCGGCCCGCCUGCGUCCCGGGAACGGGAGUCCCAGACCCCGCUGUUCGCGCUUGGCUUGAUUCUAUGAAGGCGUCUAUUUGAUG
rnacentral:lncRNA from 1 species